GAAGACUGCAGUGAGCACGCAUGGAUUUUUCCAUAAUGAUAUUCAUACUGAUGAUAGUGAUAAAAGCACCAACUGAGUGAAAUUGGAUUCCUGACACGAAUAAUUCCCGAUUACAGGCUAGAUGCUGGUCACUAUUCACUGCCAUUACAUGGAAGAGUGCGAGUAGGUCGCAAGUAAAGAACCUAUGGCCUUAGAACAACACCAGGUUUCGGGUAAAACAGGAAGCUGUAUUCAGCACUGGAUGAUCAGCCUUGAGGGGCACAUCAUUUGUGAGGGCAUCCAGUUGGCUUUUCUGUCUGGGCUUACUGCUGUUUUUUCUACUUUCUACAAUCUCAAUCUUCAAUACCAAGCUGAGGCAGCAUGCACACUGGAAUUCAUUCAAAGGCGGUUCAUCGGGAUAAAUCCAGAAAAAGGCACCAAGGCUGGAGGAGUCACAUCAAAGCGGACGGGAAAGGUUGCCCAGAAAAACAAAACAGUGUCUCCUGUCUGCUUUACAAAUUGAUGGAUUUUGAGUGGGACUUUAUAAAAGUAUUAUGCGCACACACAUACACACACACACACACACACACGUUUUCUUGCAUCCUUAUUUUUGCAGGUAUUCACUCAAAAUCAGGUGAAUAGAGUAAUUCACUAUGUUUGUGUCCAGAGUUUGUGUCCAAAUGUUUUGGACAGUAUACUUAUUAGUAAUUUGUUAAAGACUUGUUAAAGUAAUUCAGAAUCUGAUUUGGGGAGCAUCUAGUUUAUUUCUGUUUGUUGUGACUUCUAACCCUUAAAGAGCUGAAAUUUUAGUUAUUUGCUUACAUGUCCUUUAUGC